rnacentral:rRNA from 1 species
UACGGAGGGUGCAAGCGUUGCUCGGAAUUACUGGGCGUAAAGCGCGUGUAGGCGGCCUUGUAUGUCUGGUGUGAAAGCCCCGGGCUCACCUCGGGAAGUGCACUGGAAACUGCAAGGCUAGAGUCUCGGAGAGGGAGGUGGAAUUCCAGGUGUAGCGGUGAAAUGCGUAGAUAUCUGGAAGAACACCGGUGGCGAAGGCGGCCUCCUGGACGAUGACUGACGCUGAGACGCGAAAGCGUGGGGAGCAAACAGG